GUAUCAUCACAAGAGGAGCUAUACAUAUCAGUUCCACCAAAAGUUCAGUUGAUUGUAAGCAAUACAACUAUCUCUGUUGGAGACCGUAUAACAAUAAAAUGCAAUCAUUCAAUUCAUGGAAGACCCAAAGCAUAUAUUGUCUUAUAUCAUAAUGAAAUACAAGUUCUAGGAACGAGUGGUCCCUAUUUUUUCAACCAAGAUGAAGUAGAAAAAGAGGAUUCCAGUUCAUACUAAUGUCAUGCAAAAAAUUCUGUAGGAGAGGUUUCUUCAGAUUUGAUAAGAAUAACAGUGACAGAUAAUCCAAUAAACAAAGAGAGAUCUAGUGGUGGUGGUCUGGAGGGUGGAGCUAUUGCUGGAAUUGUUGUUCCUAUAAUCGUUGUUAUAAUAGUCAUAGUUAUAAUUGUUUUUAUAAAAAGAGGCAAAAAGCACCAAAAACUCCAAAACAGACUGCAAGCAAUGAUGAUACUAAAAUGCCAAUGAAUUCACCACCAAAGGAUCAAGUUUGGUUGUGAGUUGGAAUUUGACAGAUGUUUAUCCCUGAAAUUUGACAUGCAUUUUGCCUUCAUAAGUGCUACAAAUUGAUAAAGUCAGGAAUAAUUGUGUAUUUUUUUAAUUGUACAUAGUAAUUAAUUUAAAAAUUUUAGAAUAAUUUAUGUCUGGACACUGCCAUGCAUUUUCGUUAUUCUAGAAUAUUCAUGGUCAUUUUUCUUUCUUAUUUGUUCUUUGCUCUGCAUCUCAAGUUGAUUAUAUAUUAUGCCAACAUACCAUACACCAUACACUCCAUACACCCAGGAAAUGUUUUUCGAUAGAGCUGUAGAGAUGUUUAAUAAAUAUUUUGAAGAGAA